ensembl:rRNA 5S_rRNA 5S ribosomal RNA
GUCUACGGCCAUACCACCCUGAACGUGCCCGAUCUCCUCUAAUCUAGGAAGCUAAGCAGGGUUGGGCCUGGUAAGUACUUGGAUGGGAGAAAAUGAAAAUGGCAAGACUUCAUCAAUG